rnacentral:lncRNA from 1 species
AAGGGGGCAGCCAACAGGAGGCUGGUAGAGGAGCUUGAAGAAGCUGCAAAUGCGGAAUGAAAGCCUCCCGCAACAUCCAGGUUGAAGAAGCUAAUUUAUUGACUCGGCAAGGGCUUAUUGUCCCUGACAACCUCCAUAGGAUAAGGCGGCCUUCAGAAUCAAAAUCAACCUAUGAGAAGAUUACCCAUUCAAAUCAUAAAAGACCAGAUUUAAAACAAAGAUCUAUCACCCGAACAUCGACUAGAAGUGGAGGUCCGUCUGCUUGGAAAUUAGUACUGAGAAGAGAAAGCCAGCAACCAGGGAUGACCACACACUCCAGUCCAGCAUUGGUUACCCAGCCUGAGCAUCUGCUCAGCCUGACACUCCUGGCUCACCUAGCCGAAUAAUACUUUAUGAAAUGCUGAAGAGUUUACAAGGAAACAUGGGGAAAGCGACCUGUGGACAAAAGUCUGCCAGGGUGCAUUCCACCACGUGUGAGCAGAGCCUCCGCAGUGUGCUCCAACACUCUGCAAAGCAGGACUGUGGAGAAAGGACACAUCCAUCCCCUGCCUUUUGCUUGUGGUAGUGACUAACUUUCUACAGUUUUCUCAAUCAACAGUGGUCCAAGUAAACUGUAAUUAAAGGAUUAAAAAUGAAAGAUGCUCCAGUUCUGCUUUCUUUGUUUUAAAAAUCACUGCUGCAAUCUGCUUCAAAACAACAGUGCUUCUUUUCUUGCCCAAAUUUAUUCAAAAUCUUCAAGUUGUGUUUAGCCGAGAAGGCUCUGCAAAGGAGAAGAGACGGCUCUGGUGUCUCUGGUGGGUUUUCUUCUCCCGUACUGCACUGCUCAGUGUGGGAGUUAAUUCAAAUUCUCCUGACUCCAGAUUAUAACAUCCUUUUGAAAAAUUUGAAAACAAGCAAACAACAACAGCCCUCCUAUCCUGACUCCCUUCUCCAAAAACAACAACAAAAAGCCAUGAAAAGGCAAGGCCUAGCUCUGGAGUAAAAUUCCUGCUAAUAUUACCCCAGUAAUAUCGAUGAAAUGGGCAAACCCUGAUGUCAGUGCAUGAUUGAACUCUAGCACGGCCGGCCCCUGCAAAUGUAGGUCUGCGGUGACCCCGAAGGGAGGGCCUGCCAACCAGGGCCACUGUGCAUGCUGGGUGUGAUGAAUCUCUCACCAGAAAGGCUCCUGAGGCCAAAGGCUGGCACUCUUCCCUGAAUCCAUUUUGGAAGACUUGCUGGUCAUUGCAGGCAAAGCUAAGCCAGACUAUCCCUUUGAAAUUCCAAGCUCAUCUGUCACCAGGCUCCAUCCCAGUGUGCCACUGAGCUCACUCUUCAACUCCUCAGGGUGGCAACCCCACCACAGCUCUCCCUGAGCACAAUUUGACCUUUUGCAUGAUUGAAAUUGGUGGAAGUAAGAUAUUAGCCGGCACCAGUCUGGGAUUGCCAGUCCCUUGCUGUCCCCUUUAUUCUUUCCUUCAAUGCAGCCCAGGAGCAAGAUGGCCUUCCCUCUCCCUUUGGACUCACCGCUUUUGCAGACUCAAGCUCCACUUAAAGCUUACUCAGUAUUAUCCUUUAAACGUGUUUUAUAUUGUUUUGCCUGCUUUUUUGUGUGAAAUAAAAAUUAACCUUAGAAUU